rnacentral:tRNA from 1 species
GCAACCAUUGAUAGCUCAACUGGUUAGAGCAUGGUGCUGAUAAUGUCAAGGUCGCAGGUUCAGUCCCCAUAUGGGACAGUUGCA